AUUGAACGCUGGCGGCAGGCCUAACACAUGCAAGUCGAGCGGAUGAGUGAGCUUGCUCCAUGAUUCAGCGGCGGACGGGUGAGUAAUGCCUAGGAAUCUGCCUGGUAGUGGGGGACAACGUUUCGAAAGGAACGCUAAUACCGCAUACGUCCUACGGGAGAAAGGGGGGGAUCUUCGGACCUCACGCUAUCAGAUGAGCCUAGGUCGGAUUAGCUAGUUGGUGAGGUAAAGGCUCACCAAGGCGACGAUCCGUAACUGGUCUGAGAGGAUGAUCAGUCACACUGGAACUGAGACACGGUCCAGACUCCUACGGGAGGCAGCAGUGGGGAAUAUUGGACAAUGGGCGAAAGCCUGAUCCAGCCAUGCCGCGUGUGUGAAGAAGGUCUUCGGAUUGUAAAGCACUUUAAGUUGGGAGGAAGGGCAGUAAGUUAAUACCUUGCUGUUUUGACGUUACCAACAGAAUAAGCACCGGCUAACUUCGUGCCAGCCGCCGCGGUAACAC
rnacentral:rRNA from 1 species